rnacentral:lncRNA from 1 species
CUCUUCCACAAGAAGCAUGACCUUGCUUCACACUGUUCUAGUUCAAGCCACAAAAGGUAAAUUCUAUUGGUAAGGUAAAGAUAAAUGACCCCUGGACAGUUAAAUCCAGACAAAGGUGACUAUGGAAACGUUAGCAAAUAGUGUCUUCAGUCAACUGAAAACCCAGAAAGUGUCAAGUGUGUUGUCUUCUGUUUUCCUUUCAUGAUGAAAGGUGCGAGGUAAUCUCUCUGGGCUUGUGGGGUCUAUGCAACUGGGUUUUCAUAGUUAAAAACAUAAGAAGAGCCUGCUGGAUCAGGACAAUGACCCAUCUAGCCAAGCAUCCUGUUCUCACAGUGGCCGACCAGAGGCCUGUCGGAAGUUUGCAAGCAGAAUUUGAGCACAAGAGCACUCCAGCUUCCUGUGGUAGCAACUGAUAUUACUGCCUCCAACUGCGGAGGCACAGCAUAGCCAUUAUGGCUAGUAGCCAUCAAUAGCCCCCACCUCCAUGAAUUUGUCUAAUCCUCUUUUAAAGCCGUAUGUAGAGUAGUUGAUGUCACCCAUGUCUCCUCUUUCGGGUGCUUCCUUGAUUUCAUUCUUCAUCUCAAGAUCUCCUUGAGCAUUUUGAUGAAGGGGAUGAUAGCAUGCUGCUAGUACAAAAUGAUUAAAUUACCCACGAUUAUGUGGGGAAGGUUGCCCCUUUGGGGAUUUCUAGCUUGCUAGACUCCAAGCUUUCUUUGACAUACAGAGUUCAAAGCUGACACCUUGAAAUAGAUGAUCCGGCUGACCAGAGAAUUACGCUACGUAGGGGGAAAUGGGCUUGAUCCUAUGUCUUUUCCCCAAGCAUAGGAGUUGGGCAUGGGAGAACAGUCAGUUAACUCAGUAGCUUGCUGGUGCUUUGGAAUCCGAAAUAUUAUUACUCGAAGGCAUUUCAGCUAUUUCCCUAGCUCUGCUAUAAGUGUUUUGCUAAGUGAAGACAAACUGGGCAGUUCAAGUACCCUUGAACCAGGAUUAUAAUGCUAAAUCUUGUUAAUCACUAUUGUUAAUCCAUUAGUUUCCUCUAGUUCUUUAAAAUGAACAAAUCUAUUGCACAAAAACAAGUUUCUUUUUGUACUGGAUUAAUUCAUUAUCUUUUGUUUCUUCAAUUAUUUUCUCAAAAUGCCAUUCUAAUAGAAUUGAAUGCACUACAAAAAAAUUGCCACGUUUAAAAAAAGACAUUACAUUUGUUAACUAAUACCAACCUAUAUUUCAGAGAGACAUUUUUAAUAAUUGGGUGGUUGUUUUAAAAAAUGCCUUCUCUACUUGAAAAGUCUCCUUUUGUGGAUUUAUAUUCAGUGGUUCUCAAGGGGCAGAAAACCUCAAUAUUAAAGUCUAAGGCGAGAAGAAUGCUAUCAGGUUUACAUUACUGUCUGAAGAACUAAAUAUGCAAAGUUUCUUCUGCUUUGUCUGCAUGUUGAUCAGUAUUUAGGUAUAGUAUGCACAAAUAUGAGGGCAUUCAGUUGUUAUAUUUCAGCUGUUGAGUAGGCGUUAAAUCCUGCUGCUUUGACUGCACAUGCCAGUUCCUUUUGCAGAACCAGCAGGAGCAGCCAACACAGAAUUGAACUCCACCCAUCACCCCAAAUUGCCUGGUGAUGUCAGCCAAUGGACAAGGUUUGGGGGAAAUGGCCUCACUGGCUGCAUUGGAUCCACUGGUAGGCCAGCAUUGGCCCAUGGGCUGUAGGUUCCCCACCCCUGAUUUACACAUAUGAUAAAAUAAAUUCACACUCUUUUCUUUCCAUGUUAGAGCAGAGCAUGAAGGUUGUGAAACAAGCUCCACAAGGCUCAUUAACUGCUUUAUGCCUAACAUAAAUAUAUAUCACUGACCAUUCAGAAAGGGAUUUGAAGAAUGGAGCAAAUAUGAAGGAAUGUCUCUUGUUCUCAGGCACUGUUUACUUAUUAAAUUCUUAUAUAUGAGAAGUACAGUAAAUUCCAAGCAUACUUUGAACCAUAAUGAGGCAUAAUGUACCUUAGCCUGCCUCCUUGUUUUUAUUGUUUUUCAUAUCUUCUUAAUAGGUCGUCCUUGGAAACAAGGGUCAGGUGUCCUCCCAGAGAUGCAGUAACAUUCUUUGCAUUAUUCACUUAUACUUCAGGAAAUUCACCAAAAAUUAACAAAGGCGGUUGAUGCUAUAAUCACUUUCACUCAGGAAGCUGUCCAUGCAGAAC